CUGCAACAAAAACGGUGAUUACGGCAAAAUGUUGGAAUUGAGGAAUAACAAUCCUUUAAAUUGCAGAUUAGGUCCUUUUAUAACUAACUUGAACGUAAAAGUUUCAAAGGAGUUUAGAGCUAGAGUCGUGAAAUUAAUGCAAUACAUGUACAUUGUAGUUUAAAAAUAAAUAUAGAUCCGUCCAAUUUCACCAAAUAGAAUAUAAUUAUGUUACUCGUAAAAACAGGGUCUAUAAUAACAUUAAAUAUAGGUCGAGGCAACAUCAACAAAGCUAUGUAGUACAUGUUGUACAUGUAGAUAGAACCAAGAUUGUAGUUAAUUUUAAAUAGAGACUAUACCAUCAGAAGGUGUCGAAGCUCGAACUCUAAUCAACGCAGUGAGAUAAUGCAUUAACAAAAGAUAGGGCCACAUAAUCAUGAUAUUUAUUCAGGUAAUUGUAUAGCUCGAGUAAAAAGGAUAUUAAAAAUUAUAUAACACAAGACUGGUAUGAUUGCCUAUGAGAAUGCUCUACACAAGAGACCAAAAUGACCCAAAAAUUAUAACAACUAUAGGUCAACGUACGACCUUCAACAAUGAGCAAAGGCCAUACCGCAUAGCCAGCUGUAAAAGGCAAAUGACAACAUGACAAUGUAAAACAAUACAAACGAGAAAACUAACGGCCUAAUUUAUGUAAAAAAAAAUGAACGAAACAAAUAUGUAACACAUAAACAAACGACAACCACUGAAUUACAGGCUCCUAACUUGGGAAAGGCACAUACAUACAUAAUGUGACGGGGUUAAAUAUGUUAGCGGGAUCUAAACCCUCCCCGAAAUCCUGGGUCAGUGGUGCAACAGAACACUUCUGUGUCAACAACUGUAGAAAACAAUAAACAAACUCGUAUACUUAUGGUAUGAUAAACAGCAACAACCACUAUUAUAUCUGUUGACUCUGUUUUGAUUAUAAUGAACUAUUUCCUGAGUUAUCUGAUUUUAUUCAUUAACAAAAUGCG
rnacentral:lncRNA from 1 species